rnacentral:rRNA from 1 species
UUAAGCGAAUAAGCGUACACGGUGGAUGCCCUGGCAGUCAGAGGCGAUGAAGGACGUGCUAAUCUGCGAUAAGCGUCGGUAAGGUGAUAUGAACCGUUAUAACCGGCGAUUUCCGAAUGGGGAAACCCAGUGUGAUUCGUCACACUAUCAUUAACUGAAUCCAUAGGUUAAUGAGGCGAACCGGGGGAACUGAAACAUCUAAGUACCCCGAGGAAAAGAAAUCAACCGAGAUUCCCCCAGUAGCGGCGAGCGAACGGGGAGGAGCCCAGAGCCUGAAUCAGUGUGUGUGUUAGUGGAAGCGUCUGGAAAGGCGCGCGAUACAGGGUGACAGCCCCGUACACAAAAAUGCACAUGCUGUGAGCUCGAUGAGUAGGGCGGGACACGUGGUAUCCUGUCUGAAUAUGGGGGGACCAUCCUCCAAGGCUAAAUACUCCUGACUGACCGAUAGUGAACCAGUACCGUGAGGGAAAGGCGAAAAGAACCCCGGCGAGGGGAGUGAAAAAGAACCUGAAACCGUGUACGUACAAGCAGUGGGAGCACAGAGCAAUCUGUGUGACUGCGUACCUUUUGUAUAAUGGGUCAGCGACUUAUAUUCUGUAGCAAGGUUAACCGAAUAGGGGAGCCGAAGGGAAACCGAGUCUUAACUGGGCGUUAAGUUGCAGGGUAUAGACCCGAAACCCGGUGAUCUAGCCAUGGGCAGGUUGAAGGUUGGGUAACACUAACUGGAGGACCGAACCGACUAAUGUUGAAAAAUUAGCGGAUGACUUGUGGCUGGGGGUGAAAGGCCAAUCAAACCGGGAGAUAGCUGGUUCUCCCCGAAAGCUAUUUAGGUAGCGCCUCGUGAAUUCAUCUCCGGGGGUAGAGCACUGUUUCGGCAAGGGGGUCAUCCCGACUUACCAACCCGAUGCAAACUGCGAAUACCGGAGAAUGUUAUCACGGGAGACACACGGCGGGUGCUAACGUCCGUCGUGAAGAGGGAAACAACCCAGACCGCCAGCUAAGGUCCCAAAGUCAUGGUUAAGUGGGAAACGAUGUGGGAAGGCCCAGACAGCCAGGAUGUUGGCUUAGAAGCAGCCAUCAUUUAAAGAAAGCGUAAUAGCUCACUGGUCGAGUCGGCCUGCGCGGAAGAUGUAACGGGGCUAAACCAUGCACCGAAGCUGCGGCAGCGACGCUGAUGCGUUGUUGGGUAGGGGAGCGUUCUGUAAGCCUGUGAAGGUGUGCUGUGAGGCAUGCUGGAGGUAUCAGAAGUGCGAAUGCUGACAUAAGUAACGAUAAAGCGGGUGAAAAGCCCGCUCGCCGGAAGACCAAGGGUUCCUGUCCAACGUUAAUCGGGGCAGGGUGAGUCGACCCCUAAGGCGAGGCCGAAAGGCGUAGUCGAUGGGAAACAGGUUAAUAUUCCUGUACUUGGUGUUACUGCGAAGGGGGGACGGAGAAGGCUAUGUUGGCCGGGCGACGGUUGUCCCGGUUUAAGCGUGUAGGCUGGUUUUCCAGGCAAAUCCGGAAAACUAAGGCUGAGGCGUGAUGACGAGGCACUACGGUGCUGAAGCAACAAAUGCCCUGCUUCCAGGAAAAGCCUCUAAGCAUCAGGUAACAUCAAAUCGUACCCCAAACCGACACAGGUGGUCAGGUAGAGAAUACCAAGGCGCUUGAGAGAACUCGGGUGAAGGAACUAGGCAAAAUGGUGCCGUAACUUCGGGAGAAGGCACGCUGAUAUGUAGGUGAAGUCCCUCGCGGAUGGAGCUGAAAUCAGUCGAAGAUACCAGCUGGCUGCAACUGUUUAUUAAAAACACAGCACUGUGCAAACACGAAAGUGGACGUAUACGGUGUGACGCCUGCCCGGUGCCGGAAGGUUAAUUGAUGGGGUCAGCGCAAGCGAAGCUCUUGAUCGAAGCCCCGGUAAACGGCGGCCGUAACUAUAACGGUCCUAAGGUAGCGAAAUUCCUUGUCGGGUAAGUUCCGACCUGCACGAAUGGCGUAAUGAUGGCCAGGCUGUCUCCACCCGAGACUCAGUGAAAUUGAACUCGCUGUGAAGAUGCAGUGUACCCGCGGCAAGACGGAAAGACCCCGUGAACCUUUACUAUAGCUUGACACUGAACAUUGAGCCUUGAUGUGUAGGAUAGGUGGGAGGCUUUGAAGUGUGGACGCCAGUCUGCAUGGAGCCGACCUUGAAAUACCACCCUUUAAUGUUUGAUGUUCUAACGUUGACCCGUAAUCCGGGUUGCGGACAGUGUCUGGUGGGUAGUUUGACUGGGGCGGUCUCCUCCUAAAGAGUAACGGAGGAGCACGAAGGUUGGCUAAUCCUGGUCGGACAUCAGGAGGUUAGUGCAAUGGCAUAAGCCAGCUUGACUGCGAGCGUGACGGCGCGAGCAGGUGCGAAAGCAGGUCAUAGUGAUCCGGUGGUUCUGAAUGGAAGGGCCAUCGCUCAACGGAUAAAAGGUACUCCGGGGAUAACAGGCUGAUACCGCCCAAGAGUUCAUAUCGACGGCGGUGUUUGGCACCUCGAUGUCGGCUCAUCACAUCCUGGGGCUGAAGUAGGUCCCAAGGGUAUGGCUGUUCGCCAUUUAAAGUGGUACGCGAGCUGGGUUUAGAACGUCGUGAGACAGUUCGGUCCCUAUCUGCCGUGGGCGCUGGAGAACUGAGGGGGGCUGCUCCUAGUACGAGAGGACCGGAGUGGACGCAUCACUGGUGUUCGGGUUGUCAUGCCAAUGGCACUGCCCGGUAGCUAAAUGCGGAAGAGAUAAGUGCUGAAAGCAUCUAAGCACGAAACUUGCCCCGAGAUGAGUUCUCCCUGACUCCUUGAGAGUCCUGAAGGAACGUUGAAGACGACGACGUUGAUAGGCCGGGUGUGUAAGCGCAGCGAUGCGUUGAGCUAACCGGUACUAAUGAACCGUGAGGCUUAACCUU